rnacentral:rRNA from 1 species
GACGAACGCUGGCGGCGUGCUUAACACAUGCAAGUCGAACGGAAAGGCCUUUUCGGAGGUACUCGAGUGGCGAACGGGUGAGUAACACGUGGGUGAUCUGCCCUGCACUCUGGGAUAAGCCUGGGAAACUGGGUCUAAUACCGGAUAGGACCGCACUUUAGUGUGUGUGGUGGAAAGUUUUUUCGGUGUAGGAUGAGCCCGCGGCCUAUCAGCUUGUUGGUGGGGUAAUGGCCUACCAAGGCGGCGACGGGUAGCCGGACUGAGAGGUUGGUCGGCCACAUUGGGACUGAGAUACGGCCCAGGCUCCUACGGGAGGCAGCAGUGGGGAAUAUUGCACAAUGGGCGCAAGCCUGAUGCAGCGACGCCGCGUGGGGGAUGACGGCCUUCGGGUUGUAAACUCCUUUCGCCAGGGACGAAGCGUUUUGUGACGGUACCUGGAGAAGAAGCACCGGCUAACUACGUG